rnacentral:piRNA from 1 species
GAUAUACAUAGAAGCAGAAUAUUGUA